rnacentral:rRNA from 1 species
UACGAAGGGGGCUAGCGUUGCUCGGAAUCACUGGGCGUAAAGGGUGCGUAGGCGGGUCUUUAAGUCAGGGGUGAAAUCCUGGAGCUCAACUCCAGAACUGCCUUUGAUACUGAAGAUCUUGAGUUCGGGAGAGGUGAGUGGAACUGCGAGUGUAGAGGUGAAAUUCGUAGAUAUUCGCAAGAACACCAGUGGCGAAGGCGGCUCACUGGCCCGAUACUGACGCUGAGGAGCGAAAGCAUGGGGAGCAAACAGG